GGGGAAUAUUGGACAAUGGGCGAAAGCCUGAUCCAGCCAUGCCGCGUGUGUGAAGAAGGUCUUCGGAUUGUAAAGCACUUUAAGUUGGGAGGAAGGGCUGUCGGCUAAUACCCUGCAGUUUUGACGUUACCAACAGAAUAAGCACCGGCUAACUUCGUGCCAGCAGCCGCGGUAAUACGAAGGGUGCAAGCGUUAAUCGGAAUUACUGGGCGUAAAGCGCGCGUAGGUGGUUCAGCAAGUUGGAUGUGAAAGCCCCGGGCUCAACCUGGGAACUGCAUCCAAAACUACUGAGCUAGAGUACGGUAGAGGGUGGUGGAAUUUCCUGUGUAGCGGUGAAAUGCGUAGAUAUAGGAAGGAACACCAGUGGCGAAGGCGACCACCUGGACUGAUACUGACACUGAGGUGCGAAAGCGUGGGGAGCAAAC
rnacentral:rRNA from 1 species